rnacentral:misc_RNA from 1 species
AGCUCCAAUCAAUUUCCUCUUUUAUGUACUCUUGUUGAUCCAUUUUGAACACAUGCUGGUUGAAGUGUUGUUGAAGCUUUUCAUUCGUAAAAUUAAUGCAAAACUGUUCAAAACUAUUAGUUUUAAAGCUUUCAAAGCCAUAAAUGUCAAGGACCCCGAUCAAAAAUUUUGAGUUAGGAUCUUGCCCAAUGGAAACAUUAAUUUUAUACACCAACCAGUCAAACAACCGAGAAUAUAUUGUCUU